rnacentral:lncRNA from 1 species
UUUUUUUUUUUUUUUUUGUCUUACUCAAUAAUUGUGCUGGGAGCUACAUUCUCCCUGAGUCAUGCUAUCAAAUCAGAGAGUCGAUUUCAACAGCAGCAAUGAUGAACUUAAGUCUGAAAUGUCCUGGGCUCCAGUCAUUGUGUGUGUGUGUCCACAGGACUUGGAUUUACUCAAUCUGUGCAGCACUUAGGUUGUUUGUAAAAUUUCUGUUCACGGUAUGUAUCACAGUGUAUUGAAACUAUAGUUUUUAGCUCUGUGUCAAAAUUGGGGGAAAUGACCCAGUAGUGAGCAGAAUUUGGAGCACUCCUUAUAUCCAACAUUUUAAUUUUUAUUUUAUUUCAUUUUGGGGGCUGCACCCAUGGCAUGUGGACGUUCUCAGGCCAGGGAUCAAACCCAUGCCACAGCAGCAACUUGGAGCCACUGAAGUGACAAUGGCAGAUCCUUAGGGAACUCGGAAUCCCACUGAGCCACCAGGGAACUCCUAGAUCCAACAUUUGAAAGUUUUUUACUCGGUGGCAACACUAUGUGAUACUGUACACACUGAUUUGUGUGUUAAAGGACAAAGCUUGGGAAUCAGUUCCUCAGAUUGAAGUCCUGGCUUUCCACGUAACAGCCACGUCAUCUCUAUUACUCUUACAUAUUGACAUGGGGAUGGUGAUAAUGAUAGUAACACCUGCUUCACAGAGUUGACUAGAUAACUUAACACAUGAAAAGCCCUGGGCAGGAAUAAGUGCUUACUAAGGGGAAGUUGUUACUGCUAUUUCAUCCUUUAAAAAGAAAGAAUGAAAAUGUAUACCUAGAAGCCUGUGAUUUAGUAUGCAACCAAUCCGUAGCUUAGUAUUGGAAUAGAAGGCAUGAAAUGGCUUUUUACACAAAAUACUGUAUAUGAAACAUUUUAUUUCUAGUUAGUUGAAAGCAAUACGAAUGGGAAAACCUUGGUUUUAGAAAUGACCUCCUAGUCAGAAAAUAAGUGUAUAAAAAUUAGAUACUUGAAUUACUCCCUGAUGUUAAACUGACAAAACAGUACCUCCAUGUAUAUUUUUUCCUCCUUUUUAGGGCCGCACCCGAGGCAUAUGGAGGUUUCCAGGCUAGGGGUCUAAUCGGAGCUGCAGCCACCGGCCUACACCACAGCCACAGCAAUGCCAGAUCUGAGCCACGUCUGUGACCUACACCACAGCUCAUGGCAACACUGGAUCCUUAACCCACUGAGCAAGGCCAGGGAUCGAACCCACAACCUCAUAGUUCCCAGUGAGAUUCAUUUCCACUGCACCACAACAGGAUCUUUAGUACCUCCAUAUUUUGUCCUUUUUUUUUUUUUUUAAUCUUUUUAGGGCCGCACCCAUGGCAUUUGGAGAAGCCCUGAAAAGCAAAAAAAUAAAAAUAAAAAUAUUAAAAAAUUAGAUUAUAACUCCCCAAAUAAAAUAUAUAUCCAUGAGCCUGCAAUGAAAUAAACAAAAAUAAGUAAAUAAAUAAAUGAGGGAGAAUGGACAACUCCAUUGAUGAGGAGAAAUAAAAUAUCUGCAUAGUUCAAAUUAUCUCCCCCCAAGGUAUCUUCUGAUUGCAGACAGAAAAACAGUAGUGUCACAGUGGAGAAACCAGAAGACACCCGCUUAACCAAAUAAUCAAGCUAUUAUCACUAGUGUGACAGGCAGAAUUCUCAGAUGCCCAGUCUCCCCCCUUUCCUGUCCACUUUUGGUUUACAAGCCUUUCAUAAUCAGCCAAGCUGUGAAUACAAUGGAUUUUAAUCCUGUGACGAGGUUAUAUUAUGUGACACAGACGACUUUAAAAUAAAGGGAGGUUAUGGGUUUGGGCCUGACCUAAUCAUAUGAACCUUUUAAAUCUGAGUCUGGAAGUCAGAGAUUUGAAGUGUGCCAGGGAUUGUAGGGGAGGGAAAUCCUCCUGUGCCCUUGUAAACAGAGGCACUGCUAGUGAGAACUUUUUUUUUAAUUGUUAUUUCCCCAAUACAAUUUUUUUCCUACUGUACAGCAUGGUGACCCAGUUAUGCAUACAUGUGUACAUUCUAUUUUCUCACAUUAUCAGGCUCCAUCAUAAGUGAUUAGAUGGAGUUUCCUGUGCUACACAGCAGGAUCUCAUUGCUAAUCCAUUCCAAAGGCAAUAGCCUGCAUCUAUUAGUCCCAAGCUCCCCAUCCAUCCCACUCCCUCCCCUUCCCCCUUGGCAACCACAAGUCUGUUCUCCAUGUCCAUGAGUUUCUUUUUUGUGGAAAGGUUCAUUUGUGCCAUAUAUUAGAUUCCAGAUAUAAAUGAUAGCAGACCCUCAUACUGAGUGAAGUAAGUCAGAAAGAGAAAGACAAAUACCAUACGCUAGUGAGAGCUUGAUGGUGGCUUCUAAGAACUGAGAUUGAUUCCUGCUGCCAGCCAGUGAGAAAACGAAUGGUCCACCCUGAAUUCUGCCAACAACCUGAAUGAGCUGUAUGAGGACCCCAAGUUCUAGAUUAGAACGUGGCACAGCCGGGACCCUGACAUCAGCCUUGGGAGACCCCGAGCAGAGAGCCCAGCCACACGUGUCCUGGACUUCCAACCUCCAGAAACCCUGAGAUAAUAAGUGGAUGUUGUUUGACGGUGCUAGGUCUGUGGCGAUGUGUUACAGCAGCAGCAGAAAACUAGACCAAGUCACAACACGAGUCAAUAUCACAUCCUCCUUGAGAGGAUGCUCCGAAAGGGCACGUCACAUCUGAGAUUCUCUUGCC